UGCGUAGGCGGUUUAUUAAGUCAGAUGUAAAGCCCCGGGCUUAACCUGGGAACUGCAUUUGAUACUGGUAGACUAGAGUAUGGUAGAGGGGGUAGAAUUCCUAGUGUAGCGGUGAAAUGCGUAGAUAUUAGGAGGAAUACCAGUGGCGAAGGCGGCCCCUGGACCAAUACUGACGCUGAGGUACGAAAGCGUGGGUAGCGAACA
rnacentral:rRNA from 1 species